UACGGGGGGGGUAAGCGUUGUUCGGAAUUACUGGGCGUAAAGGGCUCGUAGGCGGCCAACUAAGUCGGACGUGAAAUCCCUCAGCUUAACUGGGGAACUGCGUCCGAUACUGGAUGGCUUGGAUUUGGGAGAGGAUGCGGAAUUCCAGGUGUAGCGGUGAAAUGCGUAGAGAUGUGGAGGAACACCGAUGGCGAAGGCAGCCCCCUGGGUCAACACUGACGCUCAUGCACGAAAGCGUGGGGAGCAAACAGG
rnacentral:rRNA from 1 species